GGAGGAAAAGAAACUAACAAGGAUUCCCCUCGUAACUGCGAGGAAGCGGGAAGAGCUCAAAUUUGAAAUCUGGCAGUCUUUUUUUUCUUCUUGGGCUGUCCGAGUUGUAAUCUAGAGAAGUGCUUACGUGCGCUGGACCAUGUAUAAGUCUCCUGGAAUGGAGCGUCACAGAGGGUGAGAAUCCCGUCUUUGACAUGGACAGCCAGCGUGUUGUGGUGUGCUCUCAAAGAGUCGAGUUGUUGGGGAAUGCAGCUCUAAACGGGUGGUAAACUCCAUCUAAAGCUAAAUAUGGGCGAGAGACCGAUAGUGAACAAGUACCAUGAGGGAAAGAUGAAAAGGACUUUGGAAAGAGAGUUAAACGGUAUGUGAAAUUGUUGAAAGGGAAACGCUUGAAGUCAGUCCUGUUGGCUAGGGAUCAGCCCAAGCUAUUUUGACGGGUGAUUUUCGUGGUGUGACAGGCCUACUUCAGUCUGGGUUGUUGGAAAAGAGCAGAGGGAAUUUGGCACCUUCGGGUGUGUUUAUAGCCCUUUGUCAUGUGCGGCAGUUGGGAGUGAGGGAUGCAGCGUGCCAUGAGGCUGGGUUUCGACCACGUUCACGCUUAGGAUGUUGCCU
rnacentral:rRNA from 1 species